GGGAAAUGCGGGGGCAACAGGAUGACCGACUUUCCCAAUGUCUAAGGACUGGGAAGGUCCUGGGAGUUGGGAAUUUCAGCACUCACACCAGGAUGGUCUUGGCAGACAGACAGUUGGCUACCCCACACCGAGAACCUCUAAGGUUCCAGAACAUUCUGACUUGACCCUGCUUGUGUUCUGCUUCGCCGUUAUUUUCUUAACUGGGUAUAGCAGGUUAAAUGGUGAACUGCCCCCACCCUCCAGAAGAGCUAUGCCCAAGUCCUAACACCCAGGACCUGGGAAUGUGACCUUACUCGGAAAAAGGGUCUUCGCAGAUGUAAAUAAACAGGCUCUCGAGAGGAGAUCUUCCUGAUUAACCAGGCAGCAGCUGCAGAAGUGUCCCCAGCCACCAACGGCCUUCGCUCUGCAGUCAUUUCUGAGCCCACGUUCGAAACUCCCUAAUUCGGCUUCACCUGUGUAUAUGAGUAAGUGCAUCGAAUCUUCCCUGCUAGAUGUAAGUAGCCUUGAGGACGCCGACCAAGCCUCGCGUUAGGACCAGGAGGCCUCACGGUGCCCAGAACAGUGUGUGGCAAAUAGCAGCGCUCAGGUAACACCGAUGAGUGAGUGAAUGAAUGAGUGUCGGCAAAACUCCACAAGGGCAACACCAGGUGUGCUGAGACCCUCGUGCACAUCAGAUGCCAUAGGUGCCUGGAAGGCCAACCUGGUCCCUGAGAGGCAGCCUGGAGCACGCGGGCUGCGACUCCGUCAGACUGUGCUCGGUUUCUGUCCACGUGCCCAGCCCCACCGCCACGUUUGCCCGCCAGCUUCCGGCUCCGACUCCUCUUCCAGGAGGCUGGUGUCCACUCGUCAGCCAUUGACAUUUGCCACACCGACACUGGCCGUGGACUUGGGAUCUGAUCCUCAGCCUGGCUAGAGCCGUCACUCCCAGAUGCUUCCCAGGCACCAACUCCUGGUUUGAGCCACGUCCCCACCCUGUCUGGCUCCAUGGGGCAGCUUCUUCCUCUCCAAUCUCAUCAAUCUGUGACCAUUUGCAGACAGAGCUUCUGGAACCUUCCUGGUGCACCCCUGCUAUUUCCAGGACUGGUCGCCAAGGCACGAGACCCAGAUAUAAACGCACCGUGAAUAGGAGUGUCCAUCAGAGCCCGGGCCUAACUCUGCCCAGCACAUUCCUGAGACCAGCGUGCGAGGUCCAAGGCUCUGUACUCCCCAUCCGCUCAUGCCUGUGUCUUCCAGCGUGGGCAGCCUGUGCGUGGUUACCAGGACCAGCCGGAGUGGCUAAUGGCUCACACUGCUUCCCAACAAUAGUCCUUUGUCAUUGAUUUGAUGAGGACGUCCAUGAUCUGACACACACACACAGCAGUCAAGGGGCUCCCUAGUCUAGACACUCCUUAGGAAACAGCAGAGGCCAAUCCUGGACCUAAUACCUGCCUUGCCCGACAUCCAUCUGACCGGCCCCUGACGGUGGGAUUCUCACUGGGAGAGCUGGUCUGGGGAAACUGGGCAGGACUGGGAUCAAAAUUACAUUCCGCCUCAAAGUUGGUGGCAUGUUUCUCGGGCCCAAAGUCACUGAUGGUUAACAGAGGUCCGACGGUGGGUUCCAUUUCUCAGGGAAGAGUUGCUGGUGGCCGUGACUUCAUUUCAUGAAGGAAAACACUGGAAAGAGCCGGUGAUGAGCCGAAUCUCCUUUUAUGAGUAAGCAAGACACACGGGGCCCCUGGGGCAGCUCCUAUCACUGAAUCUGCGCUGGCUUAUAUCUGGAGUUCUGUGACUGUUACUUGUCAAUAGCCACACACAAGGGCUUAACAGUGAUGGUGACCGCAUCCCAACAGCCUCACCCGGCGGUCUCAAAGAGCAAUUACCCAAUGCCAGAUAAGUACGUACAAUGGCAAUUAAAUUUCUGUGGUGAUCCUUCCUGCA